GACGAACGCUGGCGGCGUGCUUAACACAUGCAAGUCGAACGGUGAAGCGCCUUCCUUUUUGGUGGGUGUGGAUGAGUGGCGAACGGGUGAGUAACACGUGAGUAACCUGCCCCCUUCUUCUGGAUAACCGCAUGAAAGUGUGGCUAAUACGGGAUAUUCUGGGUCUGUCGCAUGAUGGGUCUGGGAAAGAUAUUGUUUCGGUGGGGGAUGGGCUCGCGGCCUAUCAGCUUGUUGGUGGGGUGAUGGCCUACCAAGGCGGUGACGGGUAGCCGGCCUGAGAGGGUGGACGGCCCCACUGGGACGGAGACACGGCCCAGACUCCUACGGGAGGCAGCAGUGGGGAAUAUUGCACAAUGGGCGCAAGCCUGAUGCAGCGACGCCGCGUGAGGGAUGGAGGCCUUCGGGUUGUGAACCUCUUUCGCCAGUGAAGCAGGCCUGCCUCGUUUGUGGGUGGGUUGACGGUAGCUGGAUAAGAAGCGCCGGCUAACUACGUG
rnacentral:rRNA from 1 species